UACGUAGGGGGCAAGCGUUGUCCGGAAUUAUUGGGCGUAAAGGGCGCGUAGGCGGCCCUCUAAGUCAGACGUGAAAUCCCUCGGCUCAACCGGGGAACUGCGUCUGAUACUGGAGGGCUUGAAUCCGGGAGAGGGAUGUGGAAUUCCAGGUGUAGCGGUGAAAUGCGUAGAUAUCUGGAGGAACACCGGUGGCGAAGGCGGCAUCCUGGACCAAUUCUGACGCUGAGGAGCGAAAGCCAGGGGAGCAAACGGG
rnacentral:rRNA from 1 species